rnacentral:rRNA from 1 species
UGAUUAGAGUUUGAUCCUGGCUCAGGACGAACGCUGGCGGCAUGCCUAAUACAUGCAAGUCGUACGAACGAUCUUCGGAUCGUUAGUGGCGAACGGGUGAGUAACACGUAGGUAACUUACCCUUAAGAUUGGGAUAACAGUUGGAAACGACUGCUAAUACCGAAUACGAUAAGAAGUCGCAUGGCUUUUUAUUGAAAGAUGCGAAUGCAUCACUUAAGGAUGGACCUGCGGCACAUUAGCUAGUUGGUGAGGUAACGGCUCACCAAGGCGAUGAUGCGUAGCCGACCUGAGAGGGUGAUCGGCCACACUGGGACUGAGACACGGCCCAGACUCCUACGGGAGGCAGCAGUAGGGAAUAUUCGUCAAUGGGGGAAACCCUGAACGAGCAAUGCCGCGUGAGUGAUGAAGGUCUUCGGAUUGUAAAACUCUGUUGUAAGGGAAGAAAUGUUAUAGAAGGAAAUGGCUAUAACUUGACGGUACCUUACGAGGAAGCCCCGGCUAACUACGUGCCAGCAGCCGCGGUAAUACGUAGGGGGCGAGCGUUGUCCGGAAUUAUUGGGCGUAAAGGGUGCGUAGGCGGUCUAUUAAGUCUGGUGUGAAAGCCCACAGCUUAACUGUGGAGGGUCAUUGGAAACUGGUAGACUUGAGUGUGAUAGAGGUGAGUGGAAUUCCACGUGUAGCGGUGAAAUGCGUAGAGAUGUGGAGGAACACCAGUGGCGAAGGCGACUCACUGGAUCAUUACUGACGCUGAGGCACGAAAGCGUGGGGAGCAAAUAGGAUUAGAUACCCUAGUAGUCCACGCUGUAAACGUUGAAUGCUAAGUGUUGGAGGGGCAGCCCUUCAGUGCUGAAGUUAACACAUUAAGCAUUCCGCCUGGGGAGUACGGUCGCAAGGCUGAAA